AGAGUUUGAUUCUGGCUCAGAACGAACGCUGGCGGCAGGCUUAACACAUGCAAGUCGAACGAGAAGCCACUUUCGGGUGGUGGACAGUGGCAGACGGGUGAGUAACGCGUGGGAACGUGCCUUUCGGUUCGGGAUAACCCAGGGAAACUUGGGCUAAUACCGGAUACGCCCUUCGGGGGAAAGAUUCAUUGCCGAAAGAUCGGCCCGCGUCGGAUUAGCUAGUUGGUGGGUAAUGGCCUACCAAGGCGACGAUCCGUAGCUGGUCUGAGAGGAUGACCAGCCACACUGGGACUGAGACACGGCCCAGACUCCUACGGGAGGCAGCAGGUGGGGAAUAUUGGACAAUGGGCGCAAGCCCUGAUCCAGCCAUGCCGCGGUGGGUGAAGAAGGCCGUUAGGGUUACGUAAACCCCUUCAGCGGGGAAGAUAAUGACGGUACCCGCAGAAGAAGCCCCGGCUAACUCCGUGCCAGCAGCGGC
rnacentral:rRNA from 1 species